rnacentral:rRNA from 1 species
UACAGAGGGUGCAAGCGUUGUUCGGAAUUAUUGGGCGUAAAGGGCGCGUAGGCGGCCGCGUAUGUCCGGUGUGAAAGCCCACCUCUUAAAGGUGGAAUUGCAUCGGAAACUACGUGGCUGGAGUGUCGGAGAGGAUGGUGGAAUUCCUGGUGUAGAGGUGAAAUGCGUAGAUAUCGGGAGGAACACCUGUGGCGAAAGCGGCUCACUGGACCAUAACUGACGCUGAGGCGCGAAAGCUAGGGGAGCAAACAGG